rnacentral:rRNA from 1 species
GACGAACGCUGGCGGCGUGCUUAACACAUGCAAGUCGAACGGAAAGGCCCUGCUUUUGUGGGGUGCUCGAGUGGCGAACGGGUGAGUAACACGUGAGUAACCUGCCCUGGACUUUGGGAUAACUUCAGGAAACUGGGGCUAAUACCGGAUAGGAGCUCCGGCUGCAUGGUGGGGGUUGGAAAGUUUCGGCGGUUGGGGAUGGACUCGCGGCUUAUCAGCUUGUUGGUGGGGUAGUGGCUUACCAAGGCUUUGACGGGUAGCCGGCCUGAGAGGGUGACCGGCCACAUUGGGACUGAGAUACGGCCCAGACUCCUACGGGAGGCAGCAGUGGGGAAUAUUGCACAAUGGGCGGAAGCCUGAUGCAGCAACGCCGCGUGCGGGAUGACGGCCUUCGGGUUGUAAACCGCUUUCGCCUGUGACGAAGCGUGAGUGACGGUAAUGGGUAAAGAAGCACCGGCUAACUACGUG